rnacentral:lncRNA from 1 species
UCAGCAAGAUACUGGCAUAUUGCACUAACUUCUUCAAAACAUUAAAGUUUAGAUGAAAUAUCGCUAUACAUAUAAUGACAUAAUAGUAAAAGAUGCAAUUGACUGAAGUUUUAUAUGGAAUGUAUACAAUCAACAGGUCAGAGAGAUGUGGCAAUUUACCAAUGUAUCAUUUUCAGUCAGACAGCCAUUGUAUCAAAGAUUAUAUCAAAUUAUAGCUACAAUAU